GUAGCUUGGUUGUUAAGUCUCUUGGGAAAUCUGUCGGCUUAACCGACAGGCGUUUAAGGGAUACUGGCAAUCUAGGGACCGGGAGAGGUGAGAGGUACUCCAGGGGUAGGAGUGAAAUCCUGUAAUCCUUGGGGGACCACCUGUGGCGUAGGCGUCUCACCAGAACGGCUCCGACAGUGAGGGACGAAAGCUGGGGGAGCAAACCGGAUUAGAUACCCGGGUAGUCCCAGCCGUAAACGAUGCGCGUUAGGUGUAUCGGUGACCACGAGUCACCGAGGUGCCGAAGGGAAACCGUGAAACGUGCCGCCUGGGAAGUACGGUCGCAAGGCUGAAACUUAAAGGAAUUGGCGGGGGAGCACCACAACAGGUGGAGCCUGCGGUUUAAUCGGACUCAACGCCGGGAACCUCACCGGAUAAGACAGCGGGAUGAUAGCCAGGCUGAAGACUUUGCUUGACUAGCUGAGAGGAGGUGCAUGGCCGUCGUCAGUUCGUACUGUGAAGCAUCCUGUUAAGUCAGGCAACGAGCGAGACCCACGCCAACAGUUGCUAGCAUGUCCUUCGGGAUGAUGAGGACACUGUUGGGACCGCCUCUGCUAAAGAGGAGGAAGGAAUGGGCAACGGUAGGUCAGCAUGCCCCGAAUUAUCCGGGCUACACGCGGGCUACAAUGGGCAGGACAAUGGGUAUCGACACCGAAAGGUGAAGGCAAUCUCUUAAACCUGUCCGUAGUUCGGAUUGCGGGUUGCAACUCGCCCGCAUGAAGCUGGAAUCUGUAGUAAUCGCGUCUCAAAAUGGCGCGGUGAAUAUGUCCCUGCUCCUUGCACACACCGCCCGUCAAACCACUCGAGUGGGGUCUUGAUGAGGCUGCGGUUUCUGCCGUAGUCGAAUCUAGGUUCCGCA
rnacentral:rRNA from 1 species